rnacentral:lncRNA from 1 species
GAUGUGGAAAAUGUGAAAACUGAUCUGGAAAAUUUUAAUGAAGAAGAUGAAGAUAAGGAAAAAAUAUAAUAAAAAUUUCUAGACCUAAUGUCAUAAUGACAUGUGUACAGCAGUUAAUAUUUUUUAUUAAACCCUAAUGUUUUUUAAAUUAAAUUUAACGGAAAUAACCAAAAUAAGUAACGGAGAGAAAGUUAAGGGACCAAAAUAAUUUAAAAUAUAGUUAAGGGAC